GCUGGGCAUGGUGGUGCAUGCCUGUAGUCCUAGCUACUUGGGAAGCAGAGGCGGGAAGAUCACUUGAGCCCAGGAGUUAGAGACUGCAGUGAGUUAUGAUCAUGCCACUGCACUCCAGCCUGGGUGACAGAGAGAGAACCUGUCUCAA
rnacentral:SRP_RNA from 2 species